rnacentral:rRNA from 1 species
AUUGAACGCUGGCGGUAUGCUUAACACAUGCAAGUCGAACGGUAACAGGACUAGUUUACUAGUUGCUAACGAGUGGCGGACGGGGGAGUAAUAUGUAGUAAUCUGCCGAUCAAUUCGAGGCAACUCGGGGAAACUCGAGCUAAUACCGGAUACGCUCUACGGAGGAAAGUGUGGGACAUUAGGGCCACCUGUUGAUAGAUGAGCGUGCAUCGGAUUAGCUAGUUGGCGGGGUAAAGGCCCACCAAGGCGACGAUCCGUAGCUGGUCUGAGAGGACGACCAGCCACACUGGGACUGAGACACGGCCCAGACUCCUACGGGAGGCAGCAGUGGGGAAUAUUGGACAAUGGGGGCAACCCUGAUCCAGCAAUACCGCGUGUGUGAAGAAGGCCUGCGGGUUGUAAAGCACUUUUAGUGGGGAGGAAGGCAUUUACGUUAAUAGCGUAGAUGAUUGACGCCACCCACAGAAACAGCACCGGCUAACUCUGUGCCAGCCGCCGCAGUAA